rnacentral:snoRNA from 1 species
AAACCAUGAUUCGGAGACCUCACUUAAUAUAGCUUGAAUUGAUCCCAUGCCUCAUGUAGGUGUUCACCCAAUUAUUGCUUGACAAAGAAAAUUUUAUCCCUGAGCAC